rnacentral:misc_RNA from 1 species
UUAAGUUCAGCGGGUAAUCCUGCCUGAUCUGAGGUCUAAUCUAAAAUUGACUACAAUAGUUGGAAGCUUCUACUGAGAUCAACGUUCGGCCACACUAGGUGUGUCCUCAGCGAAUAGUCUAUUACACUGAGUCAAUCCGAAGUCGAAUUAGAGAUGCUAAUAUAUUACGAACGAGCUAGAUCCGAAGACCAGCAGCGCUC